rnacentral:rRNA from 1 species
GAUGAACGCUGGCGGCGUGCCUAAUACAUGCAAGUCGAGCGAACAGACGAGGAGCUUGCUCCUCUGACGUUAGCGGCGGACGGGUGAGUAACACGUGGAUAACCUACCUAUAAGACUGGGAUAACUUCGGGAAACCGGAGCUAAUACCGGAUAAUAUAUUGAACCGCAUGGUUCAAUAGUGAAAGACGGUUUUGCUGUCACUUAUAGAUGGAUCCGCGCCGCAUUAGCUAGUUGGUAAGGUAACGGCUCACCAAGGCGACGAUGCGUAGCCGACCUGAGAGGGUGAUCGGCCACACUGGAACUGAGACACGGUCCAGACUCCUACGGGAGGCAGCAGUAAGGAAUCUUCCGCAAUGGGCGAAAGCCUGACGGAGCAACGCCGCGUGAGUGAUGAAGGUCUUCGGAUCGUAAAACUCUGUUAUUAGGGAAGAACAAAUGUGUAAGUAACUAUGCACGUCUUGACGGUACCUAAUCAGAAAGCCACGGCUAACUACGUG